AGUCCAUGCAACGAGGCGAUCCAGCUUGGGUUGGUUUUAUAUAUGCCUUCUUAAUCUUUUCUGGAGUGUCAAUUGAGGUGUUGACCGAAUCUCAAUAUUUCCAGAAUGUUAUGCGCGUUGGUUUCCGGCUGAGAUCAACUUUGGUGGCUGCUAUAUUUAGAAAAUCAUUACGAUUGACUCAUGAGAGUCGCAAGAGUUUCUCUACAGGAAAGAUAACAAAUAUGAUUACCACAGAUGCUAAUUCACUUCAGGUAAA